rnacentral:tRNA from 2 species
GCGGACGUAGCUCAGUUGGUAGAGCACAACCUUGCCAAGGUUGGGGUCGCGAGUUCGAGUCUCGUCGUCCGCUCCA